GGGUCCUUAGCGCAAUUGGCAGAGCAGCGGACUUUUAAUCCGCGGGUUGUGGGUUCGAUUCCCACAGGGCCCA
rnacentral:tRNA from 1 species